GAUGAACGCUGUCGGCGUGCCUAAUACAUGCAAGUCGAACGAACUUCCGUUAAUUGGUUAUGACGUACUUGUACUGAUUGAGAUUUUAACACGAAGUGAGUGGCGAACGGGUGAGUAACACGUGGGUAACCUGCCCAGAAGUAGGGGAUAACACCUGGAAACAGAUGCUAAUACCGUAUAACAGAGAAAACCGCAUGGUUUUCUUUUAAAAGAUGGCUCUGCUAUCACUUCUGGAUGGACCCGCGGCGUAUUAGCUAGUUGGUGAGGUAAAGGCUCACCAAGGCAGUGAUACGUAGCCGACCUGAGAGGGUAAUCGGCCACAUUGGGACUGAGACACGGCCCAGACUCCUACGGGAGGCAGCAGUAGGGAAUCUUCCACAAUGGACGCAAGUCUGAUGGAGCAACGCCGCGUGAGUGAAGAAGGGUUUCGGCUCGUAAAGCUCUGUUGUUAAAGAAGAACGUGGGUAAGAGUAACUGUUUACCCAGUGACGGUAUUUAACCAGAAAGCCACGGCUAACUACGUGCCAGCAGCCGCGGUAAUACGUAGGUGGCAAGCGUUAUCCGGAUUUAUUGGGCGUAAAGCGAGCGCAGGCGGUCUUUUAAGUCUAAUGUGAAAGCCUUCGGCUCAACCGAAGAAGUGCAUUGGAAACUGGGAGACUUGAGUGCAGAAGAGGACAGUGGAACUCCAUGUGUAGCGGUGAAAUGCGUAGAUAUAUGGAAGAACACCAGUGGCGAAGGCGGCUGUCUGGUCUGCAACUGACGCUGAGGCUCGAAAGCAUGGGUAGCGAACAGGAUUAGAUACCCUGGUAGUCCAUGCCGUAAACGAUGAUUACUAAGUGUUGGAGGGUUUCCGCCCUUCAGUGCUGCAGCUAACGCAUUAAGUAAUCCGCCUGGGGAGUACGACCGCAAGGUUGAAACUCAAAAGAAUUGACGGGGGCCCGCACAAGCGGUGGAGCAUGUGGUUUAAUUCGAAGCUACGCGAAGAACCUUACCAGGUCUUGACAUCUUCUGACAGUCUAAGAGAUUAGGGGUUCCCUUCGGGGACAGAAUGACAGGUGGUGCAUGGUUGUCGUCAGCUCGUGUCGUGAGAUGUUGGGUUAAGUCCCGCAACGAGCGCAACCCUUAUUACUAGUUGCCAGCAUUAAGUUGGGCACUCUAGUGAGACUGCCGGUGACAAACCGGAGGAAGGUGGGGACGACGUCAAAUCAUCAUGCCCCUUAUGACCUGGGCUACACACGUGCUACAAUGGAUGGUACAACGAGUCGCGAGACCGCGAGGUUAAGCUAAUCUCUUAAAACCAUUCUCAGUUCGGACUGUAGGCUGCAACUCGCCUACACGAAGUCGGAAUCGCUAGUAAUCGCGGAUCAGCAUGCCGCGGUGAAUACGUUCCCGGGCCU
rnacentral:rRNA from 1 species